rnacentral:tRNA from 1 species
ACAUGACUGGCUCAGUGGGUAGAGCAUGUGACUCUUAAUCUCAGGGUUGUGAGUUCAAGCUCCAUGUUGAGCA